rnacentral:rRNA from 1 species
AUUGAACGCUGGCGGCAGGCCUAACACAUGCAAGUCGAGCGAGUGGCGGACGGGUGAGUAAUGUCUGGGAAACUGCCCGAUGGAGGGGGAUAACUACUGGAAACGGUAGCUAAUACCGCAUACCAUCGGAUGUGCCCAGAUGGGAUUAGCUAGUAGGUGGGGUAACGGCUCACCUAGGCGACGAUCCCUAGCUGGUCUGAGAGGAUGAUCAGCCACACUGGAACUGAGACACGGUCCAGACUCCUACGGGAGGCAGCAGUGGGGAAUAUUGCACAAUGGGCGCAAGCCUGAUGCAGCCAUGCCGCGUGUAUGAAGAAGGCCUUCGGAUUGUAAAGUACUUUCAGCGAGGAGGCGUUACUCGCAGAAGAAGCACCGGCUAACUCCGUGCCAGCAGCCGCGGUAAUAC